rnacentral:rRNA from 1 species
GUCAGAGUUUGAUCCUGGCUCAGAUUGAACGCUGGCGGCAUGCUUUACACAUGCAAGUCGAACGGUAACAGGUUAAGCUGACGAGUGGCGAACGGGUGAGUAAUGCAUCGGAACGUGCCCGAUCGUGGGGGAUAACGCAGCGAAAGCUGCGCUAAUACCGCAUACGAUCUGAGGAUGAAAGUGGGGGACCGUAAGGCCUCGCGCGAUCGGUGCGGCCGAUGUCAGAUUAGGUAGUUGGUGGGUAAAC